GCUCGUCGGGCUCAUAACCCGAAGGUCGUUGGUUCAAAUCCAGCUCCCGCAACCA
rnacentral:tRNA from 3 species